rnacentral:lncRNA from 14 species
AAGCAGAAGUCCCAAGCCCUGUUUCCAGUCCCAUUCCUUAUGGCCUGGUGGUGUGACAUUUUUCCAGAAUGUCUCUCUGGGGCUAACAAGGAGCCUGAAGAGGUUUCUGUGGCUGCCAAGUUGCCACAGAAGGCAACAAGUAGAAGCCAGGAGACUGAAGAGAGAGAUGACUUCUCCUUCUCUGAGUCUGAAGAUGAGGUUGUGUACAUUUCUUCUGACUCUUCAUUUGUAGCAUCUGCAGAGGAUGAGGCCACAACGGAACCUGACGAAAUGCCUUGUGACACCAACCCGUGCUUGACUGAGGAAACACCAUCCUCUCUUUGUAAGAGAGUUCCAUAUCUGAGCCUGAGCAGGAAUAACCACAUCCGAGCUGCUCCAGAGAGCCCUGUCACACCCAGGCCCCCCAUUAAGGAGCCAGGUCCCCACUCUGCAGGAGCCCGUGGCACCAGGAGGCCUUUGUGUGCUGCUGAAGAGGUAAAGUGGGGAGAAGGGAAUUGUUUUGGCAUGAAACAGCUGUGGAGUUUCUGUACAGUUAGGCUGAGACAAAAGGAAGGGCUGGGAAUGCUUGCUGAAGUCUCUUUUUUCCUUCCCUUCUGCAAGGAUGUUCAGCAAGCAGAAAAUAAGAAAUACAAAGAGCUCUUGAGUCUGUUCAAAGAGAAAUAUUCUGGAAGACUUACUUCUCCACGGUCAGCAAGACUCAACAAAGUUCAAACCAAGGAACCAGGGAUGACUGGGAGUCCCCUGAAAGAACAAAAACCCAGAGGUGCCUCUCCACCUGUGCCAGGAAGGACCAGUGAGUAUCCCCAGGGCUGCUCCAGUCUGUUGGUAGAAGUCCAGCCCAAACAGGGCAUUUUCCUCAUUAUUUGCUAA